UUACUUGCAUGCCAUCUCGUAAUGAAGUUACUCAGAUGACUGUCACAGGAGAAUGGUCGACCCCAAAGAUUCACGAGGCAAUGCAGAUAUGCCUCGAUGCUUGUACGAAACUGGGGAUGAUCAUGAGAUCAUGCCUAAAAGAAGCUGUUUCUGCUCCAGAAGAUUAGAAAUUUGUGUUUCUUAGUGGAUUUUUUUCACUUUAUUAAUCCCAAGAAUGUUUGGUUAGGCUUAAAAUAUUAAAAUUUGCUUAUUUAUUACUUUUACUUAAAAGAGGGUAUACUCGGUUUGAAAGUAGUUAUUCCUUUUGCUCGUGCAUGAAAUUACUCACAAUUAGCCAAAUAAUUGGUAACAAGACUCCAAAAUAUUUGUUCAUUCUUUACAUAAUAGACGGUCCAAACCAUGUGAAAUGCCUCGAGAAAGUCUACUUAGGCAUUACUCCACUAUUGUAUUUUUUGACAUCCAAUGAUAGACCAGAUUUGUUGA